GGGGGGGGGGGGCGGGGGGCGGGGGGGGGGCGGGUCGGGCGGGGGGGCGGGCUUCGGCCUGGCGGCGAGGGGCGAACGGGGGAGUAAUGCAUCGGAACGUGCCCAGUAGUGGGGGAUAGCCCGGCGAAAGCCGGAUUAAUACCGCAUACGACCUGCGGGUGAAAGCGGGGGACCGAAAGGCCUCGCGCUAUUGGAGCGGCCGAUGUCGGAUUAGCUAGUUGGUGGGGUAAAGGCUUACCAAGGCGACGAUCCGUAGCUGGUCUGAGAGGACGACCGGCCACACUGGGACUGAGACACGGCCCAGACUCCUACGGGAGGCAGCAGUGGGGAAUUUUGGACAAUGGGGGCAACCCUGAUCCAGCCAUGCCGCGUGCGGGAAGAAGGCCUUCGGGUUGUAAACCGCUUUUGUUCGGGAAGAAAUCCUCUGGGCUAAUACCCCGGGGGGAUGACGGUACCGGAAGAAUAAGCACCGGCUAACUACGUG
rnacentral:rRNA from 1 species